CUGGCCUCAAAUCAGGUAGGGCUACCCGCUGAACUUAAGCAUAUCAAUAAGCGGAGGAAAAGAAACUAACUAGGAUUCCCUUAGUAACGGCGAGUGAACCGGGAUGAGCUCAAAUUUGAAAUCUGGCGUCUUUCAGGCGUCCGAGUUGUAAUCUAUAGAGGCGUUUUCCGCGCCGGACCGCGUCCAAGUCUCUUGGAAUAGAGUAUCAAAGAGGGUGACAAUCCCGUACUUGACGCGACAACCGGUGCUCUGUGAUACGUUCUCAACGAGUCGAGUUGUUUGGGAAUGCAGCUCUAAAUGGGUGGUAAAUUCCAUCUAAGGCUAAAUAUUGGCGAGAGACCGAUAGCGAACAAGUACCGUGAGGGAAAGAUGAAAAGCACUUUGGAAAGAGAGUUAAACAGCACGUGAAAUUGUUAAAAGGGAAACGAUUGAAGUCAGUCGUGUGAAAGGUAUUCAGCCGUCUCUGGCGGUGUAUUUGCCUUUCACGGGUCAACAUCAGUUUAGUCCGGUAGAAAAAGGCUGGAGGAAGGUGGCACCCUCGGGUGUGUUAUAGCCUCCUGUCAUAUGUGCCGGAUUAGACUGAGGAACGCAGCUUGCAGCAAUGCCGGGGUUCGCCCACG
rnacentral:rRNA from 1 species